rnacentral:tRNA from 1 species
GGUUAUGGCUCAGUGGUAGAGUGCUUGCCUCAUACGUUCAGGUCCCUGUGUUCGAUCCUCAGCACCA